rnacentral:misc_RNA from 1 species
GGCCGACCGUCACUUGUUUCGGGAGCUGCGCGCGAGAGGCUGCGCAGAGACGAGUCCAGAGGAAGAAAACCCAAAAUGGCUUCCAGCGAGACCGCCACCGACGACUCUCUUUACCCGAUUGCCGUGCUUAUUGACGAACUACGAAACGAGGAUGUGCAGUUACGGCUGAAUUCCAUCAAAAAGCUUUCCACAAUUGCUCUUGCACUGGGUGUGGAGCGAACUCGCAGCGAAUUGAUCCCCUUCUUGACUGACACAAUCUAUGAUGAAGAUGAAGUAUUGCUCGCACUUGCAGAACAGCUUGGCACUUUCACCCCACUGGUUGGAGGGCCAGAAUACGUACAUUGUCUCCUGCCCCCUCUGGAAUCCCUGGCUACAGUUGAAGAAACAGUAGUACGAGAUAAAGCUGUUGAUUCACUGAGAAGGAUUUGUGAAGAACACAACACAGAAGAUUUGGAGUCACAUUUUGUCCCUCUGGUGAAGCGAUUGGCUGUAGGAGACUGGUUCACAUCACGCACAUCUGCCUGUGGACUUUUCUCAGUAUGCUAUCCAAGAUUGUCUGUGGCAACAAAGGCUGAAUUGCGAUCACAUUUCCGUUCUCUGUGUCAAGAUGACACACCCAUGGUACGACGUGCAGCAGCAGCCAAAUUGGGUGAAUUUGCAAAGGUUGUAGAAGUGGAAUAUCUGAAGACAGACCUUAUCCCCAUGUUUGUUGCACUUGCCCAGGAUGAACAGGAUUCAGUGCGGCUUUUGGCGGUGGAGGCAUGCGUAAGCAUGGCUGGGCUCCUACAGCAGGAGGACACAGAGAUGCUGGUGAUGCCAACACUCCGCCAGGCUGCAGAAGACAAGUCAUGGAGGGUUCGUUACAUGGUGGCAGACCGCUUCAUUGACCUCCAGAAGGCAGUGGGGCCUGAAAUCACCAAAACAGAUCUCGUACCAGCGUUCCAGAGUCUGUUGAAGGAUGUUGAGGCUGAAGUACGUGCAGCAGCUGCUGGAAAAGUCAAAGAUUUCUGCCAGAAUGUGGAUCCAAGUGUGCAGGAAAAUGUUAUCAUGAACAACGUUUUACCAUGUGUAAAGGAACUAGUAACAGAUGGUAACCAACAUGUAAAGAGUGCACUAGCGGGUGUUAUCAUGGGCCUGUCGCCCAUCCUAGGGAAAGAGAACACAGUGAACCACCUUCUUCCGCUAUUCCUGUCACAGCUGAAGGAUGAAUGCCCUGAAGUCAGACUUAACAUUAUCUCUAAUCUCGACUGUGUGAAUGAAGUCAUUGGAAUCCAACAGCUGUCGCAAUCAUUGUUGCCAGCCAUUGUAGAGUUAGCAGAAGACACAAAGUGGCGUGUUCGCCUGGCCAUUAUUGAAUAUAUGCCCCUUCUUGCUGGUCAACUUGGGGUUGAAUUCUUCAACCAAUCCCUCUCCAAACUGUGCAUGACCUGGCUAGUGGAUCAUGUAUAUGCUAUCCGUGAGGCUGCUACUAACAACCUAAGAAAGCUUGUGGAGAAAUUUGGUUCUGAGUGGGCCUCCCAGAAUGUAUUGCCCAAGAUUAAUGCCAUGUCACGGGACGGCAACUACCUUCACCGUAUGACCUGUCUUGCUUGUAUCAACGUUGUUGGUGAAGUGUGUGGAAAGGAUGUGACGACCAAGACUCUGCUGCCCACAGUCCUCUCCAUGGCAAAUGAUAACGUUCCCAAUGUCAGGUUUAAUGUGGCAAAAACUCUACAGAUUAUUGGUCCCCAUGUGGAAAAAGAUGCCCUCCACUCGCAAGUUAAACCCGUGUUGGACAGACUCAAUGAUGAUGCAGAUACAGAUGUGAAAUAUUUUGCAUCAGAGGCUUUAACAGAAAAUGGUCUAAUAUAAAUGGCCUUAUUUUUUCUAGCCAUUGGCUGAGAAAAAAAGGUGCUGCUGUUAUAGUCUUCUGCCAUGACACCAUUGUUUGCGGCAUCGUAGGCAGACCGUAGCAUCCGUAGCAUGCACAAGUCAGCAUCCGUAAGCCAGAUCCAGGAGAGUUUUAGCCAUCACCAAAAUUUCUUUCUCUUAUCAAAGGAAAAGAGCAUUUGCUUGACCCAUUUGUCUCUCUCUCUCUCUCUCUCUCUCUCUCUCUCUCUCUCUCUCUCUCUCUCUCUCUCUCUCUCUCUCUCUCUCCCUCCCUCCCUCCCUCCUCCUCCCUCCUCCCUCCCUCCCUCCCUCCCUCCCUCCCUCCCUCCCUCCCCCCCCCCCUCCUCCCCCUACACUUUCUCCCUCCCUCCCCCUCCUCCCCCUACACUUUUCCCUUUCACUAUUUCACUCAGCUUCUUGUGUCUCUCUUAUCUUUCUUCUACUUGGUGGUGCUAUAUAACCACUACUUUAAUCUUUUAUUCUUCAAUUCCCAAUGUAGCAAGAAUUAUUUAUUGAAAUACAAUGCUCUGUCACAAUGGUUUAUUUUUCUUCUUUUUUCGUUUAUUCUAUCAAAGCACCCAAUUAGGGAUGUAUUGUAUCUACUCCUGUGUAAUUUUGAUUUGACAUGAUUGAUAUCUGCAGUGACGAAAAACAAAAAGAGUUAGGAGUGAAGAUGAUAUUGGUCAUUAUUUAAUUUUCUCAUAACAUUUUACUGAACCUUGAUAUGGAAAGAUUGCUAACCAAGCAAAUAGUUUCUGAAUCAUUUUCUUACCAUUAUCAUCAUUACCAAUGUUUUUUGUGCAUUUUUUUUUUUCUUCCCUUUCUUUCGAAAUUCAGGCACUCAGAGUCUUAAAAGCAGUGGACCAUGUUGCUUUCUUAGUUUUUUAUAUUUCCGUUAAUGGUGCAGAAGUGGAGGACUGUAGCAGCGUCUCUUUAAAAUACUUGUGAACUUCGUACAUUCUACCAUAAGAGUAGGAGUGAUUUUAAGUCGUUACAUAGUCACUAUUAUUUCGUAACCAGUCCCAAUCAUAAGCAGGAAUCAUUGUUAGUGUAAUAUUAUAAGUAAAAAAAAAAGGAGCUCUAUCGGUCGUGAACGCCAUGUACAUGUAUAGAUAAAUUAUAUAAAUACAUUAAUGUGUGUUGGUCAGUUCUGACUUUGUGACAGAAUUAUAUUAAAAACAAAAAAAAAGGAAGAAAGGAGAUGAGAAAUAAAAAGAGAAACUAACCUGAGUUUUGUGGAUAUACCAAUAUUUCUUGGGAGUAUAUGUAAAGGAAUUGCUUUUGUAUCAUUCAGUUAAUUCAUAUACAACACAGGCUGCCCUUGCUUAGGAAGGUUGCUGCUAUCGAAAGAUCACUCCUCCGUACUUGUUAAAAUAAUACUCUGCAUUACCUCCCCCUUCCCCUCCUCCAAGUACUAGGCCGUAAUAUAUAUUUUAAAAUGAGUAUGAUGUUGAGCAUAGACCCUUACCAUCGCUGCUCCAUAUAGAUAGGUUACCUUAUAUGUGUCAAGGAAUAUUAUUUUAUGAUUUUAUAUUUAUAUAAGUUUGCAGAAAUGAGGAUAAAAUGAAAGAGCUUUUUUUUAUAUAACUUUUAUCAUUAAUGUGAUCAGCUCCAAUGCUAAUGUAUUCUAUAACUUUUCUGUACAAAUAAAUAUUCCACAGUGGA